rnacentral:rRNA from 1 species
UACGUAGGGGGCUAGCGUUGUCCGGAAUCAUUGGGCGUAAAGAGCGCGUAGGCGGCCCGAUAAGUCCGCUGUGAAAGUCAAAGGGCUCAACCCUUGAAUGCCGGUGGAUACUGUCGGGCUAGAGUCCGGAAGAGGCGAGUGGAAUUCCUGGUGUAGCGGUGAAAUGCGCAGAUAUCAGGAGGAACACCAAUGGCGAAGGCAGCUCGCUGGGACGGUACUGACGCUGAGGCGCGAAAGCGUGGGGAGCAAACAGG